rnacentral:tmRNA from 1 species
AGCAUGUAGUACCGAAAGUGGAGAACUGGCGGACGGGGGUUCAAAUCCCCCCGGCUCCACCA